rnacentral:snRNA from 1 species
CACUUUGCACGAUGCAGUACUGUAGCCAAUGAGGUUUAUUCGAGGCGCGAUUAUUGCUAAUUGAAAACUUUUCCCAAUACCCCGCCACGAUGACUUGAAAUAUAGUCGGCAUUGGCAAUUUUUGGCAGUCUCUACGGGGA